CAACCCAAGCACAAGAGUUGUGAAAGUAAAAGGGAGUGUUAUAAAUUACACUGAGACAGCUGAGAAACUGGGACUAUCCAGACAAAGCCAUAGGCGCACCAGCUACUUAAGAUCAGCUCCAGUUUGAGAUGUAACUGCUCUUUCUGACACACAUUCCUGCCAUUGCUACCUACCAGCUUCAUAAGAGACCACAUCAAUACCCAACCUCAACCCCAUCCCAUACCCCAUCUUGAAUGCUGAACUUCCAAACUGGAGACUACAAGGCACUCUGAACAUGCACAGCACCACAGAAUGGUUCCAUCUUGAGGAAAGUGUGCAUCAUUUGUAUCUCUGCAACAACACAGUCCUAAGGAGAAGAGCAGCAGUCAGCCAUAGGCAGCCAAGACUCACAGCACCAGAAGGAUGGGUGAACUGAUUUGUGAAAGAGAUAUGGACAAGUGCCAAGAGCGCCCACUCAACUAUCUGGAUAAAAACAUUUCUCACUGAAGAUGAAAACAACACUGAGAUUCCACUUCACCCCAGAAAGAAUGGCUGCUAUCAAGAAAU